rnacentral:lncRNA from 1 species
GACGCGAUUGACUGAAUCUGAAAAAUCCCCUCACUUCUCAUCAUGAAACUUUCUCCGCCCAGAUCUGUGCCGCCGCCGCCCGCUCCGCCGGUCUGGUCGUCGUCGUCGUCCAAAAACUCAUCUUGCUAAGAGUAAUUCGUGUGAAAAAUUGCUUUUUUUCACAAAUCCGUAACGUGCAGGAAUCGAAGAAAAGGGCGAAUUGGCCCCGGGAAAAAAAAAAGGACCGGUCAAACGCUCUGCACCGCAAUGGCGACACGUUCUUGAAGGGGGGCCGGCCGUGGUGCCAUUGCCAUUGUCGUGGCCUCUUAAUUCCUCAGGUGUCAAUCUCAUCUCCCAACCCAUAUGCAUGUACGCGUACGUACGUACGUACAUACGCCUACACCUACACCUACCGCUAUGAAUGUGACAAAUUCGAUAGUACAUGGAUGAAUGUACAGUCGUACUAGCUUUAGUACUUUAGCGUACAUAUAUAUCCCGAUCGAAUCUGACGACCUAUAUAUUCGACCAACAACUGAUAAGUGUUGUCAUAUGCAGCAAAUGAUUGGGAGGCUGGGAUUGAUUAGCAUGUGGUGUAGGUGUUUAACGUAGAGAGGGUGAUCAUGAUGUGUGGAUUAAUUUUAAUUUAAUUAACACUAGAGAUGAUGAACACCAUGCCAUGCAUUGCCAUGCCUUGGCGCCCACAGGUACACGUACACUUUUGAAAGAGACACGAGGAGAGGAAGAAGAAGAAGAGUAGCUACUAGCUAGUAUGGCUAACUAGCUUAGCUAGGGCCGAGGCUAGAACCCCUCGCUGGGCUUGACGCCCACGUUGACGAAGUAGGACGACGGCAAUGGGGUGGCGGCGGCGCUGCUGGUGCUCUCCCCNNNN